rnacentral:rRNA from 1 species
UACGUAGGGAGCAAGCGUUGUCCGGAAUCAUUGGGCGUAAAGCGCGCGUAGGUGGCCUCAUAAGUCCGCUGUGAAAGUCAAAGGCUCAACCUUUGAAAGCCGGUGGAUACUGUGGGGCUAGAGUACGGAAGAGGCGAGUGGAAUUCCUGGUGUAGCGGUGAAAUGCGUAGAGAUGUGGAGGAACACCAGUGGCGAAGGCGACUCUUUGGCCUGUAACUGACGCUGAGGCGCGAAAGCGUGGGGAGCAAACAGG